GGUGGGGAGUGUCAUUGGGCUUUCAGCGUAGUAAUUCUGUCGCUGUGAAGGUCCUCUGCUCACCUACUGGCAAUGCUAACUAUCCUCUUGGUUGACCUCGGAUCAGGUAGGGAUACCCGCUGAACUUAAGCAUAUCAAUAAGCGGAGGAAAAGAAACCAACUGGGAUUGCCUCAGUAACGGCGAGUGAAGCGGCAACAGCUCAAAUUUGAAAUCUGGCCUUGCGGCCCGAGUUGUAAUUUGUAGAGGAUGCUUCGAGCGUGGUCUGGUCUAAGUUCCUUGGAAUAGGACAUCAUAGAGGGUGAGAAUCCCGUACGUGACUAGGUCCCUAAGCUCAUGUGAAGCUCCUUCGACGAGUCGAGUUGUUUGGGAAUGCAGCUCCAAAUGGGUGGUAAAUUUCAUCUAAAGCUAAAUACUGGCCAGAGACCGAUAGCGCACAAGUAGAGUGAUCGAAAGAUGAAAAGCACUUUGGAAAGAGAGUUAAACAGUACGUGAAAUUGUUGAAAGGGAAGCGCUGGCAACCAGACUUGUAUGCCGUUGAUCAUCUGGCGUUCUCACCAGUGCACUCAGCGGCGUUCAGGCCAGCAUCAGUCUUGGUGGUUGGAUAAAGGCCCUGAGAAUGUAGCUCCUCUCGAGGAGUGUUAUAGCUCAAGGUGUAAUACAGCCCACCAGGACUGAGGACCGCGCUCCGGCUAGGAUGUUGGCGUAAUGGUUGUCAGCGACC
rnacentral:rRNA from 1 species